CUGGUCCCGACUGUCUGAGGCGCCUGCCGAGUUUAUUCCCAAGUCCCCAUGGAGAGUCAGGGGCCGUCCUGAGCCAUCUUCUGAGGUCCCGGGAGGGGUGGGCUCGGGAGGGGUUCGCCCGAGGGCUUUCCGAGCGCCGAAAGGGACGGCGUGCUGCGUGUUGCAGGUGUCCGGGGGUGUGGCCCGGCAGGCCCCAUCCCAGGUAUGGCUGUGAGGGCCCGGGGGUGGCAGUCUGGGUCCCUGCCCUCUCCCACCCCGCGGGUGGGAUGGUCACCGGGGGGGCAGUCCCUGCGCUUGAGCCCUUGCUCCUCUUUCCACCGCCCACAUCGAUCAGCAGAUGGGGGUUGGGGGCGCGGUGGGAAGGAAGGUUGGCGACUUAGAUGCCAGAAAAACAGCUUCAGGCCGCGAGCGCCACCCUUGGCCUGUAGGGUGGAUCCGCUGGGCCUCUACCUGCUGGCUUCUCAGUCCGGCCGCCGGGUCCACCAGAUGUCGGCCAAGAGUGUAGGACUUGGCCACCAGCUUGAAAUAUUUAAGACGGACCAGAUGGCUCUCCUCGGCUGCAGAACCGCUAAGAUCCAGUAGAGGGUGCGAUUACUGCUCACUGCGACCUCCACCUUCCCGGGCUCACCCAGGCAAUCCUUUCUUUUCGGCCUCCGAGUAGCUGAGGCUCAGGGGAUCUUUCUGUUUUUGUUUUCUUUUUUUUGUUUUCCUAGCCCCACUUCAAGUUUGUUUCCACAGUACAUUGAGUUGCUGUUUUUUGUUUGUUUGCUUGUUGAGACGGAGUUUUGCUCUUGUUACCCAGGCUGGAGUGCAAAGUCGCGAUCUCGGCUCACUGCAACCUCCGCCUU
rnacentral:lncRNA from 1 species